AUCAUUACCGAGUUUUCAACUCCCAAACCCUUNUUGUGAACAUACCUAUCGUUGCUUCGGCGGACUCGCCCCAGCGUCCGGCCGGCCCCGCGCCGGCCGCGGCCUGGAUCCAGGCGGCCGCCGGAGACCCCCAAACUCUGUAUUCUCAGUACCUUCGAAACCCGCCGCAAGGCAAAACAAAUGAAUCAAAACUUUCAACAACGGAUCUCUUGGUUCUGGCAUCGAUGAAGAACGCAGCAAAAUGCGAUAAGUAAUGUGAAUUGCAGAAUUCAGUGAAUCAUCGAAUCUUUGAACGCACAUUGCGCCCGCCAGCAUUCUGGCGGGCAUGCCUGUUCGAGCGUCAUUUCAACCCUCGACUUCCCUUUGGGGAAAUCGGCGUUGGGGACCGGCCGUAUACCGCCGGCCCCGAAAUGAAGUGGCGGCCCGUCCGCGGCGACCUCUGCGUAGUAAUCCAACUCGCACCGGAACCCCGACGUGGCCACGCCGUNAAAACCCCCGACUUCUGAACGUUGACCUCGGAUCAGGUAGGAAUACCCGCUAAA
rnacentral:rRNA from 1 species